rfam:Myotis davidii contig29488, whole genome shotgun sequence.
GGCAGUUCUCAGGUGAUGCACCCCAGAAUUGGGCUCCUUACUCUCUGGUACAGGAUGUGUCACCUGAGAACCGCA